UACGAAGGGGGCUAGCGUUGUUCGGAAUCACUGGGCGUAAAGCGCACGUAGGCGGACUUUCAAGUCAGGGGUGAAAUCCCGGGGCUCAACCUCGGAAUUGCCUUUGAUACUGUAGGUCUCGAGUCCGGAAGAGGUGGGUGGAAUUCCUAGUGUAGAGGUGAAAUUCGUAGAUAUUAGGAAGAACACCGGUGGCGAAGGCGGCCCACUGGUCCGGUACUGACGCUGAGGUGCGAAAGCGUGGGGAGCAA
rnacentral:rRNA from 1 species